GACAAGAUAAUAGGUCUUCUCUUCUGAUGAGAACUUGCGGUGGCUCUUGGAAGCAUCCAACAGAAAUCCAAGGAAAUCCCAUGGAUUUCCCUAGCAACUGAUCAAGGAUUGAAAAGCGAUACACAGGGGAACGAUUUAGAGGCCUUAUAUAGAUCAAUUCCUAGAGUUCUUGUCAGAAUUUCAACGAGUCUUGGGAUUCCUAUUCUGGGUGAAAAAUGGAAAAGAAAGCAGAUGAGAGUCUGCCUCCUUGCCUCACAUGCCAGUCACAUGAAGUCUUAAAGAAUUUUUUUUUUGCUUUAAGAUUUUUGUGAAGAAAAAUUCUAACAAAUCUGGGUUCUUACAUAUCUACCAACAAAUCGUUAUAUAUAUGUAGUGGCUUGGACCAGC
rnacentral:lncRNA from 1 species